UUAAUUUAAAAGACAKUAGUUAAACUCUACUAUUAAGGG
rnacentral:tRNA from 1 species